rnacentral:misc_RNA from 1 species
GAGAUAUCAGAGGUUGGUUGGGAAAUUGAUUUAUCUCUCACAUACUAGACCUGACAUAGCUUUUAUGGUAAGUCUAAUAAGCCAGUAUAUGCAUGAUCCUAGAGAACUCACUUAGAAAUUGUUUUCCGUAUUUUGAGAUAUUUGAAAUCUGCACCUGGAAAAUGACCUCUUUUUUUAAAGCAUGCCCAUCUCCAGAUAAAAGGCUUCACAGAUGCAGAUGAGGAUGGAUCUCUUGAUGGUAGGAGAUCUAAACAGGUUAUUGUACCUUUGUUGGUGGU